CCCAGACUCUGAGGCAGAGUUUUUAAAGGGAAAAACCACAAGAGUAGGGGGAGGAGGGGGGAUUUUACAAAGCUUAUUUUGAGGUAGUCAUGACCAAGGGUU